AUCGCUUCUCGGCCUUUUGGCUAGGAUCAAGUGUAGUAUCAUAAAGACACUACAGAUACAUGUGUUUCUCAAGGAUACUUACCCUUCUGGUAGUAUCUAGAGGUUAAUUCUGGUUCAUGCUGUUGCUACAAUAAAAGCCUAAGGAGGCAGGCGAACAGGGUUGUCUGGUUCCUUUAGCCAGGCAGUCCCUUAGCCCUCU